rnacentral:rRNA from 1 species
UACGUAGGGUGCGAGCGUUGUCCGGAAUUAUUGGGCGUAAAGAGCUCGUAGGCGGUUAUUUAAGUCGGAUGUGAAAUCCCCGGGCUCAACCUGGGAAUUGCAUUCGAUACUGGAUAGCUAGAGUUCGGCAGAGGGAAGCGGAAUUCCCGGUGUAGCGGUGAAAUGCGCAGAUAUCGGGAGGAACACCGGUGGCGAAGGCGGCUUGCUGGGCCAGUUCUGACGCUGAGGAGCGAAAGCGUGGGGAGCGAACAGG